rnacentral:rRNA from 1 species
GUAUUUUCAACAUUGCAAUGAGUGGCGAACGGGUGAAGUAACACGGUGGAAACCUACCUCUUAGCAGGGAUAACAUUUGGAACAAAUGCUAAUACCGUAUAAUAAUUAAAACCGCAUGGUUUUAGUUUAAAAGAUGGUCUUGCUAUCACUAAGAGAUGGUCCCGCGGUGUAUUAGUUAGUUGGUGAGGUAAUGGCUCACCAAGACAAUGAUACAUAGCCGAGUUGAGAGACUGACCGGCCACAAUGGGACUGAGACACGGCCCAUACUCCUACGGGAAGCAGCAGUAGGGAAUCAUCCACAAUGGACGAAAGUCUGAUGGAGCAACGCCGCGUGUGUGAUGAAGGGUUUCGGCUCGUAAAACACUGUUGUAAGAGAAGAAUGACAUUGAGAGUAACUGUUCAAUGUGUGACGGUAUCUUACCAGAAAGGAACGGCUAAAUACGUG